rnacentral:misc_RNA from 1 species
CGCACAUUGCGCCCCUCGGUAUUCCGUGGGGCAUGCCUGUUCGAGCGUCAUUUACACCCUCAAGCUCUGCUUGGUCUUGGGCGUCUGUCCGCAUGGACUCGCCUCAAAGCGAUUGGCGGCUGGUACUGUAGCUUGAAGAGCAGCACAUUGCACUUCUCGUCUGCGGGCUAGUUCCCAUAAAGCUAUUCUUUUAUUUUGUUUGACCUCGAAUCAGGUAGGGAUACCCGCUGAACUUAA